rnacentral:rRNA from 1 species
UACGGAGGGGGCCAGCGUUGUUCGGAAUCAUUGGGCGCAAAGGGCGCGUAGGCGGCCGAUCAAGUCGGAGGUGAAAUCCCUCGGCUCAACUGAGGAAUUGCCUCCGAUACUGUUCGGCUUGAGUCCUGGAGAGGGUAGUGGAAUUCCCAGUGUAGCGGUGAAAUGCGUAGAGACUGGGAAGAACACCAGUGGCGAAGGCGGCUACCUGGACAGGUACUGACGCUGAAGCGCGAAAGCUAGGGGAGCAAACAGG